rnacentral:rRNA from 1 species
CGUACAAGGACUCCGUAGGUGAACCUGCGGAGGGAUCAUUACAAGAACGCCCGGGCUUCGGCCUGGUUAUUCAUAACCCUUUGUUGUCGACUCUGUUGCCUCCGGGGCGACCCUGCCUUCGGGCGGGGGCUCCGGGUGGACACUUCAAACUCUUGCGUAACUUUGCAGUCUGAGUAAACUUAAUUAAUAAAUUAAAACUUUUAACAACGGAUCUCUUGGUUCUGGCAUCGAUGAAGAACGCAGCGAAAUGCGAUAAGUAAUGUGAAUUGCAGAAUUCAGUGAAUCAUCGAAUCUUUGAACGCACAUUGCGCCCCCUGGUAUUCCGGGGGGCAUGCCUGUUCGAGCGUCAUUUCACCACUCAAGCCUCGCUUGGUAUUGGGCAACGCGGUCCGCCGCGUGCCUCAAAUCGUCCGGCUGGGUCUUCUGUCCCCUAAGCGUUGUGGAAACUAUUCGCUAAAGGGUGUUCGGGAGGCUACGCCGUAAAACAACCCCAUUUCUAAGGUUGACCUCGGAUCAGGUAGGGAUACCCGCUGAACUUAAGCAUAUCA